rnacentral:rRNA from 1 species
AGAGUUUGAUCCUGGCUCAGAUUGAACGCUGGCGGCAUGCCUUACACAUGCAAGUCGAACGGCAGCACGGGAGCAAUCCUGGUGGCGAGUGGCGAACGGGUGAGUAAUGUAUCGGAACGUACCUUUCAGUGGGGGAUAACGUAGCGAAAGUUACGCUAAUACCGCAUAUUCUGUGAGCAGGAAAGCAGGGGAUCGCAAGACCUUGCGCUGAUUGAGCGGCCGAUAUCAGAUUAGCUAGUUGGUGAGGUAAAGGCUCACCAAGGCGACGAUCUGUAGCGGGUCUGAGAGGAUGAUCCGCCACACUGGAACUGAGACACGGUCCAGACUCCUACGGGAGGCAGCAGUGGGGAAUUUUGGACAAUGGGGGCAACCCUGAUCCAGCCAUGCCGCGUGAGUGAAGAAGGCCUUCGGGUUGUAAAGCUCUUUCAGCCGGGAAGAAAACGCA